GGUAAAAACACUUUAACACAUCCAGUUCCUCUUACUGCAGUGAUUCUGAAACAGAGAGGAGCUGUGAGUGCAGUAAUGGACAUGAGUGUGUUUGUGCUGCUUCUGCUGUCAGGAAUUUUGUGCAAUGCUUCUGGUUUUCCGCGAAGGUACUUCUACAUAAAUGAGAGCAUGACAUGGGCAGCAGCUCAGAGUUACUGCAGAGAGAAAUACACUGAUCUGGCUACUGUAGACUCUAUGAAUGAUGUGAACAGGAUGAUAAAAACAGUGAAUGAUGGAUACAGAGGAUCGGUUUGGAUUGGACUGAAAAGAGGGACACAGAGUCAUUGGGGUUGGUCUAUUGGGGAUGAUCUUUCACAGUACAGUGGAUGGGGUUUAGGGCAUCCUGGUCUAGGACCAUGUGGCUAUUUUGCCUUUGGGUAUUGGUACGAUUUGGAAUGUUCAUCACCAGUGCUAUUUGCCUGCUACGAUGAAAAUGUCGGGAACAUCAUGAUAAAGCAGUGGAGAAGCUGGAGAGACACUCAGACUUACUGCAGACAGCAUUACACUGAUCUGGCCGUCAUCCGCAGCCCUGAGGAGCAGAAACAGCUAUAUGCAGUUGUUGGGGACGGGCCAUGGGUCUGGAUCGGUCUGUUCUGGAGCCCUUGGCUGUGGUCUGACCAAUGGAGCCUCUUCUUCACAGCAUAGCUGUGAGCAAAAUAAUCGUUUUAUCUGCAGUGAAGUAUACAAAAAGCAGAUUAUCAGAUUGAAUUUGUCCUGUGAUGGAAACUGCAAUCUGAAUGACCCUUCACUAAAGACUGACAUUCUGAAUCAGGUACGUGAAAAGUUACAGAGUGUUGGACUUGGAGAUUACAUCGUCUUAAAUUGGGGGGAAAAGUAAAGGUCAAGAGGCAUUUCAUUUGAAGCGCAACCACACAGCAUAUAAUGAAAAUCAAUCAUCAAUGUACAUUUCCAAACAAAUCAUUAUCGCUUUUGAUCUAUAUAUGUAAUCAAUUUUAAUCAAGUUAUUUAAAUGAGUAAUAUAAAUUACUGCAUACAUGUAUUUUUGAGGGUCUCCUUGCCUGCAAUUUUACUAAACAAUAUUUAAUCUAACAGACAUAUAAUGAUAUUCAUUUAUUAAUUCCUGAGAUUUUUUUUUAAUUUCAUGGAUGUAUAUUUGUGAACAUUCUUUCUAGCUUCUGUGUUUUUUUAACAUAAAUGUUUUGUAUAUUAACACUCUUAAAGUGGAUAUUAACUUUUCUAGUUCUCUUUAAUGUUCUUUUUGUCAAAGUUUCUUUAUGAAAUGUUAUUAUGUGCUCAUUAUGUAUGUGUCUCAAAUGAAAGAAAGAAAAAUUGCCUAAUGGAUCCUGAUCUUAAGCAUGUGAAUUGCAACAAGACUUCACCCUUCAUUGAUGGUAUGUAUUCUGUUA